CGUUUGCUUAAGAGAAUGCUUUCUGCACAUUUCAUGUUCUUCCUCUCUAUCUUAGCCUAGGGAGAAAACCGUGGAGGGCUGGAACGUUAGUGUGAUGGGGUGGAAGCUUAAUUUUCACAUGAUUCUCAACAAAUGCCAGCACAUCACAUGUAUUAUCAUGUCCAAUGGCUGCAAUAUGAAGGAGGCUUUUCCAAAAUAGUUACUGCUUUGGUAUGGGAAGGGACCUGCUUAUGGUUAUUCUGGCCCAGCACAAUGUUAUGAAAUGAUGGCCUCUGUGUGAGAACAAUCUAAGAGGAGGGGGGUUGGAGAGAACCACCUUGGGGUGGUAGAAUGAAGAGUCACCAAGACAUAAGGGAAGCUGAUGAGGAUGGCAGCAGAGGAGACUCUCAUUCUGCUAUGUGAGGUGCUCAGAAACCUGGGUUCUACUGAAUGCCAAUCACAUAAGAAGCAGAGAGACAGCAGGCAGUGUACAGCAGCAGACAGAAGACAGCAGACAGCUUAGGAAUCACAAGAAUGAUUUUAGAGGUAGAUACCUCUAAGAUGAAGGCAAAUCUUUAAGCCUAUUUAUUUACCUAUAAAUAGGAAUGAUAGUAGCUGCCCUGCCUCUCUAGCUGGGACAUUUGUAAUGAAUAAGUGAAGUAAAGUAUGUCAAAGUGCUUGAAAUCUAUAAAACUCUGCCCCAGUCACAUGCCUUUAGAAAAAUACAUAUUGCCAGAAGCAGGCUGACUUGGGCCUCUCCUACCAUUUUCUUCAUCAAAGCUGCUGUGAUGACGUUCUAGCUUUUCUCACAGGCAGUUGUUGAUGAAAAGGGUCUCCUUCAGGUGCUGCCACUGGCUCUGGAUCUCAUCUUCUGCAGCCAUUCCACCAGGACUGGCUAUUUCCACAGCCAAGGGGCCUUCCUGUGCAUCAAAGAGGAAGGCAUUGCUGCUGGGAAGCUGGUGGGAGUCAUGGCAGCUGGAAUGAGUCAAAUACUGUUCAUCUAGUGAGUCCUCCAGGACUUCAUCCAUUUCUUCCUCCUGGACUUCCCUCUUGAGCCAGGUGAAGUAGGCAAGACAAGGGAUUAAACCAAGGCAGCCUGGAACCACAUAGCUAGUUCUGAUCUGAAGCUCAUGGAAGAGGCACCAAAACCAAAGGGACCAUCACAUCAAAGAGGAAGUAUACAGUCCACUUUUGACUGGGAGUAAAGUGUGCCUAGAGUUAGUAUAGAAGUGAAAAAAGCAAGUGAUCAGUGCAUUGACCUCAUAACACACAGAUAAGGCAGCAGACUCAACAACUACUCUA
rnacentral:lncRNA from 1 species